GACGAACUGUCCUAACGUUGUUCGGAAUCACUGGGCUUAAAGGGCGCGUAGGCGGUCCGCCAAGUCAGGGGUGAAAUCCUGCAGCUUAACUGUAGAAGUGCCUCUGAUACUGGCGGUCUUGAGGGAAAUAGGGGUGUGCGGAACUUCCAAUGGAGCGGUGAAAUGCGUUGAUAUUGGAAGGAACGCCGGAGGCGAAAGCGGCGCACUGGAUUUCUUCUGACGCUGAGGCGCGAAAGCUAGGGGAGCAAACGGG
rnacentral:rRNA from 1 species